rnacentral:rRNA from 1 species
GACGAACGCUGGCGGCGUGCCUAAUACAUGCAAGUAGGACGCAGUUGCGAACGGGUGAGUAACGCGUAGGUAACUACCUAUUAGAGGGGGAUAACUAUUGGAAACGAUAGCUAAUACCGCAUACUAGUAGAAGGACCUGCGUUGUAUUAGGUAGUAGGUAGGGUAAUGGCCUACCUAGGCAACGAUACAUAGCCGGCCUGGAGGGGUGAACUGCCCAACUGGGACUGGGAAACGGCACAGACACCUACGGGAGGGAGCAGUAGGGAAUCAUCGGCAAUGGGGGGAACCCUUACCGAGCAAAGGCGGGGGAGUGAAGAAGGGUUUCGGAUCGUAAAGGUCUUUUGAUAAGGAAGCGGUACUUAAACAGAAAGGGACGGCUAACUACGUGCCAGCAGCCGCGGUAAUUC